AGAAUCAACGCUGGCGGCGUGCCUAACACAUGCAAGUCGAACGAGAAAGUGGGAGCAAUCCCACGAGUAAAGUGGCGCACGGGUGAGUAACACGUGACUAACCUACCCUUGAGUGGGGGAUAACCUAGGGAAACCUGGGCUAAUACCGCAUAAUACCUACGGGUCAAAGGAGCAAUUCGCUUAAGGAGGGGGUCGCGGCAGAUUAGUUAGUUGGCGGGGUAAUGGCCCACCAAGACAGUGAUCUGUAUCCGGCCUGAGAGGGCGCACGGACACACUGGAACUGAAACACGGUCCAGACUCCUACGGGAGGCAGCAGUGGGGAAUUUGCGCAAUGGGGGAAACCCUGACGCAGCAACGCCGCGUGGAGGAUGAAGCCCCUUGGGGCGUAAACUCCUUUCGAUCGGGAAGAUAAUGACGGUACCGGAAGAAGAAGCCCGGCUAACUCGCGCCAGCAGCCGC
rnacentral:rRNA from 1 species